rnacentral:rRNA from 1 species
AGUCCCGUAUAAGAAGCAUGAUUGGACGUAUUAAGUAGGGCGGGACACGUGAAAUCCUGUCUGAAGAUCGGAGGACCACCUUCGAAGGCUAAGUACUCCUUACUGACCGAUAGUGAACCAGUACCGUGAGGGAAAGGUGAAAAGCACCCCGACGAGGGGAGUGAAACAGUACCUGAAACCGAACGCCUACAAUCAGUUGGAGCAUCCUUGCGAUGUGACAGCGUACCUUUUGUAUAAUGGGUCAUCGACUUGGUCUCACGAGCAAGCUUAAGCCGUUAGGUGUAGGCGCAGCGAAAGCGAGUCUUAAUAGGGCGUCGAGUUCGUGGGAUCAGACCCGAAACCGAGUGAUCUAGGCAUGGCCAGGUUGAAGAUAAGGUAACACUUAUUGGAGGACCGAACCCACAUCUGUUGAAAAAGAUCGGGAUGAGCUGUGCCUAGGGGUGAAAGGCCAAUCAAACUCGGAGAUAGCUGGUUCUCUGCGAAAUCUAUUUAGGUAGAGCGUCAUCCGAAUACCCUCGGGGGUAGAGCACUGGAUGGGUAAUGGGCCCCACAGGCUUACUGAUCCUAACCAAACUCCGAAUACCGAGGAGUACUGGAUGGCAGACACACGGCGAAUGCUAACGUCCGUCGUGGAGAGGGAAACAACCCUGACCUCCGGCUAAGGCCCCUAAUU